UUCCGGUUGAUCCUGCCGGACCCGACUGCUAUCAGAGUGAGAUUAAGCCAUGCGAGUUAACGUAGCAAUACGUGGCGCACGGCUCAGUAACACGUAGUCAACAUGCCCAGAGGACGUGGAUAACCUCGGGAAACUGAGUCUAAACCGCGAUAAGUGAGGAUUUCUGGAAUGGUUCCUGACUAAAAUCUAUAUGGCCUCUGGAUUGGACUGCGGCCGAUCAGGCUGUUGGUGAGGUAAUGGCCCACCAAACCUGUAACCGGUACGGGCUCUGAGAGGAGGAGCCCGGAGAUGGGCACUGAGACAAGGGCCCAGGCCCUAUGGGGCGCAGCAGGCGCGAAACCUCUGCAAUAGGCGAAAGCCUGACAGGGUUACUCUGAGUGACUUUCGCUAAGAAAGUCUUUUGGCACCUCUAAAAAGGGUGCAGAAUAAGGGGUGGGCAAGUCUGGUGUCAGCCGCCGCGGUAAUACCAGCACCCCGAGUGGUCGGGACGAUUAUUGGGCCUAAAGCAUCCGUAGCCGGUUCUGCAAGUCCCCCGUUAAAUCCAGCUGCUCAACAGAUGGGCCGCGGAGGAUACUACAGAGCUAGGAGGCAGGAGAGGCAAGCGGUACUCAGUGGGUAGGGGUAAAAUCCGUUGAUCCAUUGAAGACCACCAGUGGCGAAGGCGGCUUGCCAGAAUGCGCUCGACGGUGAGGGAUGAAAGCUGGGGGAGCAAACCGGAUUAGAUACCCGGGUAGUCCCAGCCGUAAACGAUGCAGACUCGGUGAUGGGUUGGCUUCGCGCUAACCCAGUGCCGCAGGGAAGCCGUUAAGUCUGCCGCCUGGGUAGUACGGUCGCAAGACUGAAACUUAAAGGAAUUGGCGGGGGAGCACCACAAGGGGUGAAGCCUGCGGUUCAAUUGGAGUCAACGCCGGG
rnacentral:rRNA from 1 species